rnacentral:rRNA from 1 species
GACGAACGCUGGCGGCGUGCCUAAUACAUGCAAGUCGAACGCAGUGGGGACGGGUGAGUAACACGUGGGUAACCUCCCAUCAGAGGGGAUAACACUUGGAAACAGGUGCUAAACCGCUACUGAUGGAUGGACCCGCGGUGCAUUAGCGAGUUGGUGAGGUAAGGGGUAACCAAGGCCACGAUGCAGAGCAGACCUGAUAGGGUGAGCGGAGACAAUGGGACAGAGACAAGGACCAGACGCCUACGGGAGGCAGCAGUAGGGAAUCACCGGCAAUGGACGAAAGUCUGACCGAGCAACGCCGCGUGAGUGAAGAAGGUUGUCGGAUAGUAAAACGCUGUUGUUAGAGAAGCGGGAUCUAACCAGAAAGCCACGGCUAACUACGUGCCAGCAGCCGCGGUAAUAC